rnacentral:rRNA from 1 species
GACGAACGCUGGCGGCGUGCUUAACACAUGCAAGUCGAACGGAAAGUUCCUGCUUUUGUGGGGUGCUCGAGUGGCGAACGGGUGAGUAACACGUGAGUAACCUGCCCUUGACUUUGGGAUAACUUCAUGAAACUGGGGCUAAUACCGGAUAGGAGCUCCUGCUGCAUGGUGGGGGUUGGAAAGUUUCGGCGGUUGGGGAUGGACUCGCGGCUUAUCAGCUUGUUGGUGGGGUAGUGGCUUACCAAGGCUUUGACGGGUAGCCGGCCUGAGAGGGUGACCGGCCACAUUGGGACUGAGAUACGGCACAGACUCCUACGCGAGGCAGCAGUGGGGAAUAGUGCACAAUGGGAGGAAGCCUGAUGCAGCAAAGCCGCGUGUGGGAUGACGGCCUUCGGGUUGUAAACCGCUUUCGCCUGUGACGAAGCGUGAGUGACGGUAAUGGGUAAAGAAGCACCGGCUAACUACGUG